rnacentral:rRNA from 1 species
UCAGCCGCCGCGGUAACACCGGCAGCUCUAGUGGUAGCCAUUUUUAUUGGGCCUAAAGCGUUCGUAGCCGGUUUGAUAAGUCUCUGGUGAAAUCCYAUAGCUUAACUGUGGGACUUGCUGGAGAUACUAUYAGACUUGAGGUCGGGAGAGGUUAGCGGUACUCCCAGGGUAGGGGUGAAAUCCUGUAAUCCUGGGAGGACCACCUGUGGCGAAGGCGSCUAACUGGAACGAACCUGACGGUGAGGGACGAAAGCCAGGGGCGCGAACCGGAUUAGAUACCCGGGUAGUCCUGGCCGUAAACGAUGUGGACUUGGUGUUGGAAUGGCUUCGAGCUGCUCCAGUGCCGAAGGGAAGCUGUUAAGUCCACCGCC